CGUGCCCAAUCGUGGGGGAUAGCGCAGCGAAAGCUGUGCUAAUACCGCAUAAGAUCUACGGAUGAAAGCAGGGGAUCGCAAGACCUUGCGCGAAUGGAGCGGCCGAUGGCAGAUUAGGUAGUUGGUGAGGUAAAGGCUCACCAAGCCUUCGAUCUGUAGCUGGUCUGAGAGGACGACCAGCCACACUGGGACUGAGACACGGCCCAG
rnacentral:rRNA from 1 species